GCCCGCCGUCGCUACAGACACAGCCGCCGCCACGCUGCGGGCCUUUGACACGUGACUGGGGAGCCGGCGGCCGACUGCGCAGCCGCAGUCGGCACUUACUGUGGCAGCGCGCAGGCCUGGUGGGAGGCCCAAAGCUUCCGGGUGCAAGUCGUGGGCCUUCCCCAGCUAAAGCUGGUAACUAGCUAACUCAGUGGUCAUUGGCCCCUACAGCAGGAGUUGGGCCACUUUGAAGUUUUUCUCGUGGGAAAAAGCAAUGACCUUGAUUCAUCCUGGACUCUGUUUCUCUCCAGUCUACCAACAAGCUUCAUCGACUCAACUCAAGUUGUGUCCAAAGAAGAAGAGGUGUAGCAAGGAGGUUCCUAUCCACCAUGGCUCCUACAUAGCCAACUGCACUCCAAUCCACCAGUGAUAAAGCACCCAGGAAACAACUAGUUACAAAAGCUGCUCUUAAGAGCACACCCUCUAUUGGAGGGGUGAAGAAACAUCACUGUCACAACCCUGAGA